rnacentral:rRNA from 1 species
AGUGAACGCUGGCGGUAGGCCUAACACAUGCAAGUCGAACGGCAGCACAGUAAGAGCUUGCUCUUACGGGUGGCGAGUGGCGGCCGGGUGAGGAAUACAUCGGAAUCUACUUUUUCGCGGGGGGUCACGUAGGGAAACUUACGCCAAUACCGCAUACGACCUACGGGUGAAAGCAGGGGAUCUUCGGACCCUGCGCGAUUGAAUGCGCCGAUGUCGGAUUAGCUAGUUGGCGGGGUAAAGGCCCACCAAGGCGACGAUCCGUAGCUGGUCUGAGAGGAUGAUCAGCCACACUGGAACUGAGACACGGUCCAGACUCCUACGGGAGGCAGCAGUGGGGAAUAUUGGACAAUGGGCGCAAGCCUGGUCCAGCCAUACCGCGUGGGUGAAGAAGGCCUUCGGGUUGUAAAGCCCUUUUGUUGGGAAAGAAAAGCAGCAGGUUAAUACCCCGCUGUUCUGACGGUACCCAAAGAAUAAGCACCGGCUAACUUCGUG